ACUAUUGAAGGAGCUUUAGCCGCUGCAAAUCUUAUCCUUCCUCCCUCCAGGUUUUCUUCAGUGUCGAAAUUGGUAUGGAGACGUGGAUGGAGAUUUGAGUCUUAGGAAUUUGGGAAGAGCUCAAGUGAUUCAGAAUGAAAAGACCUUGGCACAGACCUGUUAAGGAAGCUCCAUAUAAGGUGAAGAAAACAACAUGCUCAGCCAUGUCCUUGCCUUCUGCACACGGUAGUGCAUUCACUGCCUGAGAAUUCAAGGCUAAAACAAAAAGAGGAGCUUUUGUUCCAACAGAUAAGUACUUACCUUUUUCAAAAAAUGCAUAAGCUGUCCUGGGUGUUUAGCAGUUAUUCGCACAGCUUUCCAAAGACUCACAGCAUUUAAAAGCUAACUCUACAGAGAUUCAACAGCUUCUUCCAGAUCCCACCACAGUGGAAAAGAACUCCGGUGUCCUGGCUCCCUGUCCAGCUCUUCUCUCUCCCCUUCCAGCUGCCAGUUCAGCUUUAAGAAGUUCAUUCUCCACAUUCAGAUGCAGGCAAAUGCGUUUGACUUGAGCAUAUUGAUUUCAGGCAGGUGAGAGUGGAUGUAGCGAUUCAGCUUGACAAAUAUUUAGAUCAGUUAAGUGUCCUUUAUAAAGAAGCACUUGAACUCAGUGUUUCCUUUACCCGACCAUUUCACUCCACAAGCUACCUCCCCAGCAUAAAAUAUUCAAAUUAUUUCUAAAUUUCAUCUACUGAAAAAAUACUUCUAGGCCCUAUAGCUACAUGAUAUCUCCACUGGGAGCCCUGUCCUUUCCAUGCCCUGGGAAAACCCGAUCUAAAGCAGAUUUAAAUGACUCAGCAGUAGGACUCAGGUCUCUGUCUCUGCCUGCUUACUUGGGGAGUGCUCCAGCCUUAGGGGCUCUCUUGCACUCCAACAUAGGAAAGAAAUUAUCGAUGGCUCCAUUCCCCAGCAUUUGAGACUUUUCUUCCCACAGACACAUUCCUGAGGACACCAGUCAUGGGUAAAGAACUCCACUGGGGUCAGCGUUGGAUCCCACUAGGCAGUUUAGGACUUGUAAGUAGAGUAGUGUGGACUUGGUGUUCCCAGAGCCUCUCACUCAUGAUUCAUGGCUCUCCACCCCAAGCAUCGGAACUUGCCCAACUUCACCACAGAAGGAAACAGACUGUAAGCUUGGAGGGCCAGGGAGGAAACCGGAGGCAUGUGUGGGAGGAUUAGAAACAUGAAAAGAUAUUUACAGUAAGGUUCGCUUGUCAUCCUCUUGAACUGGGGGUGCAUAGAGUACAAUAAGACCCCAUGUGAGUAUGUUAGAUGAUAAGGCUCAGGUUGGAUGGGUGUGUAGAGUAAAGGCUUUGCAUCACCUUUGCCAGGGUGAGGGAAGGCUAUGGAUAGCACAGGGGACCUUGAUGAUCGGGUGAGGGAGCCCAUGUGGACAUAGUGGUCACCAGCUACUUCCUAGUUCUCUACAUGGGAGAAAGAGCCCUUCUCUGUAAUCAUGGAAGCUCAAGUUCUUGGUGGUUCAGAGGUUAGAGACCUCUGAUUACUAGGACAGAGCAGAAUAGCAGGGCUGGUCCUGGUAGAUCAGACAUCUCAUGACAUCCUUUAAAAGGGACUAGAAUAUUCAGAACUCCGGUGUAACUAAAUGAUCCUCAAGCUUUACCAGCAGGUGAGCAAGGUCCCAUUGUAUUUGGUACUCACAUCCCCACCAAUUCUGUAAAAGUUUGCCAACUUUCCCCUCCAUCCCCUGCACCCUUUCACCAAAAGAUAUGCCUAAGAGUUCCCAAGAGACGUCUAACAUAGGCCUGCAUGUCAGCCCAGUCUUCUGGGCUGAGCUGCUGCACUGUUGCUGGCCUUGAUGGCUGAACCUGAUCUCUGUUGUGGCACCCACCACUCUUUCUCAAGCCUUGACACCUUGGCAGGCUUUGGCAAAAAGAGGAGAGCUGUUCUUCCUCGGCAUUAUGUUCACUUAGCAGGGUCCCACAGCAGGAUUGCUUGGACCCCAGAGUAUUGUAGGGCUUAAUAAGACCAGCCCUUUCAUCUCACACGCUCUAUCCUUUCUCUCACUGGUGCACCCACGUCAGGUGUCUUGAGUGGGGAGUGCUCGAAUAUCUGCCACCAGCUUGAGUCAGAACCUCGACUUCCCUCAGCUUUUCAGGGUCUGUUACUGAGUCUGGUCCACACUCCAGGGUCUUUUCCUCACGGUCUGGGUCUGGUCUUUUUCAGGUGCCUACCUUUCCUCCCUGCAAACUGCCUUGAGUUGCCUCCCCUUCUCCCUUCCUUCCUGGUCUGUCAGAGACAUCUUGUCUGGGUGCAUAUUUGAACCCCAUCAGUAGACAGAAAACAUGUAUUUCCUUGAAGGCCCCUCAGACCCCAGGUACAAACAUUGAAGUAAAUAACAGCAGGGAUGGGGGUUCUGCCUCGCUUCACCUGCCAGCCACGUGCAGACCUUGUUUCAGUCCAACUGAGACUUUAGCAAGUGCUUCAUUCUGGUUUGUGAAUGGCUUCCCAGUGUCUGUCACUGUGUUCACAGGGCCACCGGGGUUGGCUGAGUCAGAAUACCAGCCAUGUGGCAUGUCGCAUGGGGCAAGAGCUGUGCUGCCCAUGGGAGUCCAGAGAAGGAGCACACUAAGGACCAACACCAGCAUUUGCUCUAGGGGAAGCCUGCAGCUAUGUCAUGAGGACCCUCAACAGCCCUGUGCAGAGGACUAUGUGGCAUGAAAGAUACCUUCUGCCAACAACCAGCCCCAACUUGCCAAGCAUGUGAACAAGCUAAACUGAAAGCAGAUCUUCAGCCCCAAUCAAGCCUUCAGAUGACAGUAACCUCAGCCAAUAUACUGACUAUAACCUCAUAAAAGACCCUGAACCAGAACCCUCUAAGCCACUCUCAAACUCUACCCCACAUAAACUGUGAAAUAAUAUAUGUUUAUUGUUAUUUUGGGCCACUAAGUUUAGGGGUAAUUUGUUAUGCAGCAAUUAUAUAACCAAUAUUCCAACUAAAGCUGAAAUGCCUCCUGCAUUUCCUCCCUCAGUGGCCUACACUACAAUCCAAGUUCAGGAAAAAACGAGAACCUUAUUUAAGGUAGUGGCAAGAAAUGAAUGGAUUAACUGGACAUUUAAAAAGUAUUUGAUAGAACUUGGUGAUAGGAGGUGGGGCAGUUAGGGACUAGCAGGAAUUUAGGAUGAGAGGCUCAUUCAGUUGGGCUUAUGUUUUACUGAGGUCAAUUCCAAAAGGAAGGAAAGAAAAAUCCAGCCAAAUAACCUUUAAUGGACUAAGUCUUCUUUCAUAAGUCAGUUUGCACAACUUCUUCACAGGAAUCAGAUUUUAAAUAUCAUAACUGAAGAGAAAAAAAACAGCAAGAGGAGUUUACCUUUAUGGUGGAAUGACACUAAUCUUUCAUGCUUUCAAAUUUCUUGAAAUUUCCUUCGUAUGCAUUAUCUUAUUUGCUGUUCACAGUAAAACUGUGUAUUGGCUAAGCCAGUUUUUAUGAAAAUAUAAGCAGUGAGAAAAAGUAAGAUAGUAUGUCAGUUAGUAGAUUUUUUUAUGGACAUUGUGACAGAGGACACAACUUAAACUGGCUUUUUUUUUUUUUUUUUUUUUUUUGAGACAGAGUUUUGCUCUUGUUGCCCAGGCUGGAGUGCAAUGGCACGAUCUCGGCUCACUGCAACCUCCGCCCCCUGGGUUCAAGUGAUUCUCCUGCCUCAGCCUCCCGAGUAGCUGGAAACACAGGUGCCUGCCACCGCGUCCGGCUAAUUUUUUGUAUUUUUAGUAGAGAUGGAGUUUCACCAUGUUGGCCAGGCUAGUCUCAAACUCCUGACCUCAGGUGAUCCACCUGCCUCAGCCUCCCAAACUGCUGGGAUUACAGGUGUGAGCCACCGCACCUGGCAAAAGGGUUUUGUUUCUAAAGGUACAAGAACAGGUACAGCUUCGGGUCAGUGUGAUUCAGCCCUCAACAAAGCCACCAGGAUCCAUUUCUUGGCUCUGCUUCAUUGCUUCUCAUAGGCUGGCUCAUUCUCAGACUGUACGUGAUAUGGUUCAGUGGCUUUAGGCUCCAAGCAUGACAACACCCAACACUCAGAUUGAUGGAGCUAGAGCAAGUCUCUUCAGGCAGCGUCUAGGAAAGUUCUGAAAUUCACUCUGAUUGGCUGCCCAUCUCUGAAUCAACCACGUAACCCAAGGAAAUAGGAACUGCUGAUGGGUCAGGGUCGGUUCACAUGCUUCAUACCUGGAGCUGAGAAGACAUCAACUCCAUCCUGGAGCUCAUGGGCUGUGACUAGAGCAGACGGAGUUCUCAGAGGAAAGUCAGAGUACAGUUAUCAAAGCAAGCAGUUACAGAUGCUAGAUGACCAAAAUCCAAUAACUGCCCAGUAAAAAUAUUAUACUAAAAUCUAGGAACAUGUGGCUGAUGGACAGUCAUUACCAGGAAAAAAAAGUUGUUAGGUCUAAAUGUAAAAAUUGAGGCAAAGAAAGUGCCCGAGCUAGAAUUAGAACCCUGACUACCUGAAUAUUAGAUCGGUUAGUGCCACUUCUACCCUACCGCUGCUGAGGGGGGAGGUGAACAGUCUCUCAGGUUGCAGACAGUGGAUGGUUUCCCUCCCUCUAUCUUCUCAUUUCAUGGUGGAGCUGAAUCAUCCUAUGUUCUACAUGCUGACAGUGGAAGGUUAUGACCAUACCCAUAUCCUGUUGUCUCUGAGUCUCCUGUGGUGCAGAGAUCCCUGAGACUUGUAGAACAGAACCUGAGUGGAAAGUGGGAGGGGGAUUGGGGGUGGUUCCCACGAAUCAAGCAGCAACCUGGAGACAAGGAACACCUGCAACCUCAGCAGUGGAUCAGAACGGCUGACUGAGCAAUGGACAUACUGUGCAUCUUUCAUUAGUGCUGAGACCAACUUCUAGCUUGGAGUCCCAUGAAAGGGAAACUUAGCCCUAACACCACAACAAGGAGCACAGUGUCAAGUGGGGACAUUGCAGCAGAGUUGCCGCAAAGACUCUGAAGUGCUAUGGGAAGGGAUAUUUCCUAGGAGGGGUUAAAGGGAUUCUCCUUAAGAAGGGGGCUGGGGGAAUCUGAGUAAGAGGUGGGGGAAAGCAGCCAAAGCAUGAUACUUAGUCAUAGCAUCACAAGAAUUUGACUCAGAGUUCCUACAAGGUUGUCCUAAAAUGCCCUGGUUCAGGUGGGUCAGCUUUGAAAGCACCCAAAUUACCCCGUUUUCUGUACUAUGUUUAAAGGCAAUUUGAAAGAAAGACCCCUAAUUUGGAAACAUGUGCUAAGGCUAAAUCACUUUUUCAACUGAAAAUUCUUUUUUAUGUAUUGUUACACUCCAUUUUCUGUCUUGUGUUUUUUGUUGUUGUUGUUAUUUGUUUCUUUUUUCUUUUUCUUUCUUUUUUUUUUUUUUUUGAGACAGAGUCUCGCUCUGUCCCCAGGCUAGAGUGUAGUGGCGCGAUCUAGGCUCACUGCCACCUCUGCCUCCCAGGUUCAAGCAAUUCUCUUGCCUCAGCCUCCUGAGUAGCUGGGAUUAUAGGCGCCCACCACCACACCCAGCGACUUUUUGUAUUUUUAGUAGAGAUGGGGUUUCGUCAUGUUGGCCAGGCUGCUCUUGAACUCCUGACCUCAGGUGAUCUGCCUCCCUCGGCCUCCCAAAGUGCUGGGAUUACAGGCGUGAGCCACCGCACCCCAGCCCAUUUCCUGAAUUUCAGGGGGAGUGAAUUAAUUCUAAUAUAGAGAGUGGGUAAAAGGACCAAUUUUUUCAUUACUAUUUGACUUCAUAUCAUCUUGCUUUGCAAUGCCCUGGUUUUUACAUCUAUAAAUCAGAAAUGAUAAGCAACCUGCUUUAUAGGAAUGCAAUGAAGAUAAGGAGAUACAAUAUAAAAAUAUACAUUGAGUCAGAAAGACAGAUAACACUAUUUAAACCAGUGUAUUCUUAUAAUCCUCAUUAUUACUAAGAAUGAUGUUAACAGUUAUGAUAAAAAGUCAACAUGCAGAAAGAAGAGAAUAAAGUAAUUUCUAGUUUGGGCCAAGAUGUACUCUGUAGACAUGAAUUUUUAAAAGAUGAGUGGUUAACACUUAGCAUUUGAUUCUGUGCUUGUUAUAAGUGAGCAACUGAGAAUUUCUAUCUUUUGGAGAGAGAGAGAGAGAGAGAGAGAGAGUGUGUGUGUGUGUGUGUGUGUGUGUGUGUGUGUGUGUGUUAUACAGGGAACAAGCAUUAUUUUGCAUUUGAGGUCAAAACUGGAGAAAUCAGGGAGACGUCAAGUUUUGUUCAUUAACUUUCAUACCUUUCUAACAACAGCCCCCAGAUUAAACCAAUCUUCUACUGUCAAAUUUGGGGACAUUUUCUUUAGUGGAUGGUCAUAAAUCUUGAGGGGAAUAUUGCUCACUUCUUUUAAGAAUUAAUGGUGAUUCCUAGGUGGGAGUAUGGAGUCAUGUAUCAUACCCUGAAGCAUUAUGUUUUUCCCAGCAGAGAUGCUCAAUAGAAGUCUGGAAGCUUUUGCGGCUGCCAGCAAUUUCAUGGUUACUGUCCGAAGCAGAAAGGGCACAUCAUCAAAUUCUUCCUUCUAAUGCAAUUUUGCCUUCCUGGAAUUUGUACUAUUUUUCUUACAUGGAUAGGGAAUUUUUUUUGAGAGUGCACAGUCAUGUUAAAGUAAAUACCCUGGAGAAAUACUUUCAAUUAAAAUUCAGAAGUUUUAAAAUCCAGGCUAGAAAGGAUUUCCCUGACCUACAAAACCUAAUAAGAUAUUUUUUCUUUCCAUUUUCUCCCUCCUCAUUCCCCUAAGUGUGUGGAGCUGUCCUGCUUUCUUACCUGGUGGCCCCAUUUAGCUUUGCCUUCUAGACAUUUAAGUCAGAAAAUGGCUUUAAAGAAUGUUUUGAGAAAACUUGACAUACUGAUCUACUCUCAACUCAAUGAUUUUCUUUUUUUUGAGUGGAAAAGAGAAAGAAACCACAGAAGCAAAGCAAUAAUAAAAUCUUUUAGUCAAGUAAGAAAAAUUUGACCAGGAGAUACAGAGAUAGUAUUUGUGGUGAUUGAGGCAGUUAAUACCAGAAAAGUUUAGAAAGCAGAGAUUUUGAGGCCCGAAGGGAGGGGAGUCAAACAGGCAGCAAGUCGACGUGGAGCAAGAUAGUCUUAUGUUGGAGAGUGGCCCUCUCCUCUGUGGGGCCUGGGCCUGGCAUUUCAUCUCUCGGUUGGGCUAUGAAUGCCUAGGUUGCAGAAUUUCUUAGUGAGUUUUGCACAUUAUAUAUGCAACACACCUAUGCAAUAUGAGUACAGUGCCUCAAACCUAGGUACUCAGUUAUUUAGAGUUACCAUUGUAAAAUAUUAAAUGCCUGGGUAUGAAAGAAUGAAAAUCUCUUCCUCUCUCAAUGUGUUCUCGGGAUUAUGGCUUUAAAAAAUAGCUGUUCAACUAAAACUAAUUAAAACUUCCAGGUUAGAACCUAGAAGCAGACAUACAACGACUAAAAUGAGUGCAAGAGGAUAAUGGUGUCCAUUAGAGAUUAUUCUUACUCAGAGGCAGGGCUAGGACUAGGGAGAGGCAAGAGAAGCAUCCAGGGUGAACACUUAAGAGGCACCCAGCUUCAGGGCCUGCAGGCACUAAGCCUGAGCUUGCACAACACUGAGAGUGCGACUCCAUGCCCUACCCUAGGCCCUGUCCUGUUCAAAGGACAUCCUACCUGGCUCAUUGGCAGGAUAUCUUGCCCCGUCCCCAAUGGUUUCUUUCACACUCGCAAUACCUGGAGACAAAACAGCCACCAUUGUCAGACUUCUUUGACUUUCCAAACAAACUCCAGAAAGAUCAUUACAGGACCCAGCAUGAGAAGGGAAACCGAGGUGCAUUGAAAGCAAUAAAAUUUAACCGCAGAGAUGAUUUCAUGUUCAAUCAUCAAAAUACACAGAGGGACUUGCUAAAAUGUCCACCGUUGAGGGUAACAACCCAUGACCUUAUUCUUUCUCACACCAGCCUUAGUAUAUAUAAAUGCUAAGAAUAGCAAACAGGAUCUUUUUUAUUGGCUUUUCAAGAACAACAUUGGGGCCUGGAAGACACCAGUCACCUUCAAAAACAAGCAACAAUAGGAAGCUUGAAGCUGUUGGUGCACAGCUUUCAACAUACACACUUUUUAAAAAAUAAUUUCAACUUAAAAAUUUUAGAUUUAGGAGGUACAUGUGUGGGUUUGUUACAUGGGUAUAUUGCAUGAUGCUGAGGUUUGCGGUACGAUUGAUCCCAUCACCCAGGUACUGAGCAUAGUUGCCAAUUGGUGGUUGUUUUUAACCCUUGUUCCACUCCCUUCCUCUCCAUUCGAGUAGUCCCUACUGACUAUUGUUGCCCUCUUUAGUCUAUGAGCAGCCAAUGUUUAGCUCCCCCUUAUAAGUGAGAACAUGUGGUAUUUGGUUUUCUGUUCCUGCAUUAACUUGCUUAGGAUAGUGGCCUCCAGCAGCAUCUAUGUUGUUGUAAAAGACAUGAUUGCAUUCUUUUUAUGGCUGUAUAGUAUUUCACAGUGAACAUAUUUUUCUUAGACAUUGUUUUCAAAACAUUUCAUUGCUUGAUUUGCUCAACCCCAUUCUCCAUCUAAAUCAUUUGUAAACAUAGCCUGAUAAUUACUUUGGAUUAAUUGGUAUUAUUUGAUAAAAUCAUACAAAGCUAGAUUUUUGAGAAUGGUAAUAUGUUAGGAAUGUGUUUGGCUAUGAGUAACAGAAAACCCAACUACAUGACUUUUAGCAUAGGGGUUUAUUUUUCUUAUGUAACAAGAUAUCCAGACUCAGGCAGUUUCUGGUAUAGGUUCAGUUCCUUAGUUCUCUGGGUCAUUCUCUCAUAAUAAUGACAUGGCUGGGUAGCUCCAACUACUGAGGCAGUAUAUAAGGCAGAGAGAAGGAGGGGCAGUGGAAGGAAGGCACACCAUGGUUGUCCCCUUUUACAAAGAAAGCAAAAGCUUCCCCAGCAACCCAUACCAGCCCCCCUCAUUAUGGGUUGAGUGUUGUCCUCUCCAAAGCCAGAUAUGUUUUUCCCAACCUCCAGUACCUCUGAAUCAGCAUAGUUUUUGUUCUUUGUGAAUCUGAACUUACUUGGAGAUAGGUCUUUACAGAGGUAAUCAAAUUAAAAGGGUGACGGUCAUUGGGGUGGACCCUAACCCAAUAUAAAAAAGGGAAAUGUGGACACAGAGACAUGCAUACUAGGAGAGAACCAUGUGAAUGAGAAGCAUGCAUCUACAAGCCAGGGAGAGAGGCCUGGAGUAGAUCCUUCCCUCAGAGCCAAGCUUACAAACAUCUUGAUUUCAGACUUCUAGCCUCCAGAACUAUGGGACAAUACAUUGCCUUUCCAGAAGCCACCCAGGUUUUGGUACUUUGCAAUGGCAGCCCCAGAAAACUAAUGCAUACCAGAAGACUUGUUUUCAUACAUUAUUAGCCAGAACUGUGCCCCUGGCUUCCCUGACUACAAGGGAGGCCAGGCAAGUAUAUAUUUAACUGAACAUAUUUCAAUCAGAGCAUUAGGAUUCUGGUAGCAAAGAAAAAAAGUGGGGGAAGGGCGUAAAUAAUCAAGAGCAUUUUCCACCAGGGAGAAAACGCUUGCACUUAAUGAGUGGCCACAGGAUGGGUAGCUCUCCCUCCAACACUAAUCAGAUUUGAAGUAACAGCAUGUUGGGGAUAAAGUUAGGCAGUAGAAAGAGUGCAAGGGGUUUGGGGACUAGCACUCACUUUGCCGCAACUUCCUACGUGGUUUCACACAAGUUGCUUUAACCUCCAAGCCUCAGCUUUUUUAAUCUGAUAAAUGGGAUUAAUAAUCUAUGCUCUUAGCAUUUUAAUAGAGCUUUUUUUUUUUUUUUUUUUUUUUUUUCCAGACGGAGUCUCACUCUGUCACCAGGCUGGAGUGCAGUGGCACGAUCUCGGCUCACUGCAACCUCCACCUCCUGGAUUCAAGCAGUUCUCCUGCCUCAGCCUCCCGAGUAGCUGAGACUACAGGCACGCAUCACCAUACCCAGCUAAUUUUUGUAUUUUUAGUAGAGACGGGGUUUCAUCAUGUUAGCCACGACAGUCUCGAUCUCUUGACCUCGUAAUCCACCUGCCUUGGCCUCUCAAAGUGCUGGGAUUACAGAUGUGAGCCACCGUGCCCGGCCAAUUUUUAUUAUUUUUGGUUUUUUUUUUUUUUUUUUUUUUUUUUUUUGAGAUGGAGUCUCACUCUGUUGCCCAGGCUGGAGUGCAGUGGCACAGUCUUGGCUCACUGCAACCUCCGCCUCCCAGGUUCAAGUGAUUCUCCUGCCUCAGCCUCAUGAGUAGCUGGGACUAUAUGUGCCUGCCACCACGCCCAGCUAAUUUUUGUAUUUUUAGUAGAGAUGGGGUUUCACCAUAUUGGCCAGGCUGGUCUCAAACUCCUGACGUUGUGAUCCUCCCACCUUGGCUUCCAAAAGUGCUGGGAUUACAGGAGGGCAGUUUUUAAAAGGGUUUAUCAUUCUAGUGUUGUCUAUCUACACUGCCCUCUGAGAUCUGAUGGGGUAAAGCAAAGGAUACCAACUAAGCUUGCAGGCUUUGGAGUCACCUCACCUGUUCCUAUCACUUAGAUGUUGUGUGGUCCAGGAUCAGUUACUUAACAUCUCUGUGCCACAGUUUUCUUAUAUGUGUAUAAUAGGUAUAUGAUUAGUAGCUAAAUGAGACAGUUGUGAGCAUGAAAUAAUAUAUGUAAAGCAUUCAGAACAGUGCCUGGCACAUAGCAAACUUUAUAUAUGUUAGCUGUUAUUAUCAGGCCUAUCCAAUUUAUAAGUGAUAUGGAAUCGAGAAGGAUAGCAAAUGUUUUAGACCAUAAAAUCAAGAAUCUAAAAAAGAUUUUGACAGAAAGGAAAUGAGCCAAAUAUAAAAAGAUGAAGUUUAAUAAGUACACAUAAAGGUCCUGUCUUGGGGUAAAAUAGCAAGAAUGAGGGAGGCCUAUAGGUUUUUAGUUUAUUAUAAAUUUAAUAUAAGUUAACCAUGAGAUGCACUUACAAAACAAAAUUAGAUUUAGGUUGCCUUGAUAGAAACACAGUAUUGGAAACAAAGGAAAAUAGAACCCAACUCUGUCUCUGCACUGGUUGGACCACACUUGAAAUAAUAGAUUUCCUUCUAGUAUUCCUCACAGCAGCCCCUGAAAAUUGAUAAUUGCCUUCACGUUCUUUAAGGGCUGGUAUAUGAAAAAGAAAAGAGAUGUAUUUUGGGGAUGCUACAGAAGACAGAACAUCCCCAAUAUGAAUAAAGUAGAGGUCUGCUGGACUACAGCUCAGUCUUAGAUGACUAUGAGCCACCUGGAAAUGGAAUGGCCUCCUUCAGGUGGGUUGCAUGGGGGCCCCUGCUCACCUAAAUGCUUAAGCCAUAGCUGGUGGGAUAAUUCGUGGUGAAGGAUGUUGCCAAGCAGACCAACAAGUAGGCAUCCCUACUGCUUUGAGGAAGGGGUAGGUACUCCCACAGAAGUCACAUGUUGGUUGCCCAUUGGCCAAAUUUGGUCUGCUAUUGUGUAGUUUUUGUUCUAUGUGAAAUAUUUUUUUUUUCUUGUAUAUCUGGAUUCCUUGUCAAAAUUUAAAAAUCAGGAGAUUUCACACAAAAAAAAUUCUUUUUCUUUUUUUUUGCUUUCUUUGAAAGAUAAGAUGAUCUAGCAGCACAUGGUGGAUCUGUAUUGUCACAGAUGGCUGGAGUUGAGCAGUAGCCAUCACCUUUAAAUGGAAUGUGCGUCCUCCAAUUAUCCAACAUCCUCACCUGGCCCACCUUACUCAUUGAGGUUACCUGUCUGGUCCAUAAGCAUUUGAGUUUGUGAUUCACAUGCCGGUCUCUAGGGGCUUCCCUUACCCUGAGGGUCUAGACAUUUCCUUAGUUUUGUCCUGCAAACAUUAGGAGAAAUUAGUUAAAUCUGUGGAAGUGUGGGUAAAAUUCAGAUACAUGUAGAGACUGGGGAUGUGUUACAGAAUAACUGCAAGUUUUAGAAAACACUGACAUAGCAAAUGUUUAAAGCUAAGUCUACAUUAAGGAGCAAAAAACAUUAAAAAAUUUUAUUUGAAUUUUGGUUGCAAUCUACAUGUUCUAAAUAUAUAUGGUUCUUGCUGAUAUCUCCCUAAUCUUUGAACCCGUUCCAUUCUUCAUAAGUCAUCAUGGAUCCUUGCAUUGUAUUUAUUGAUGGAUGGAUGGACAAAUGGAUAGAAAUCAUGCAGGAAGGAUGGAGAACAUAGAGAAAAAUGUAACCAAAUGAGUACUAUUGUUUCUUUCUGUGACAUAUGAUCAUGUAAUAAGUGUGUAUUAAGUAUUCUGUGUCAAGCAUGGUGCCAGGUUUUAGGGGAUGCAAAAAAGGAGUAAAAAACACAGACAUGUUCUGAGGACCUUGUUACUUUUGCCCUUAUUGUUAGUUUCAGCUUAAAAGUUAGGACUCUAAAAUUUGAAAUCCAGGCUCAUUGGGUUCAAAUCCAGGCUGUACUCCUUCUGUGCUCUGUAAUUUUGAGCAAUUUACUUAACCGCUUAAUAAAAUAAGGAUGAUGCCAAUAAUAUCUAUUUCCUGAUGUUGUUUGGAGGAUUAAAUGAGAGAAUCAUGUAAGAGCAUUUAGUACAGCACUCAGCACUUAGUGAGCAUUCAAUAAAUUAUUCUAAACUAGCUUCCUUCAAUACCUGCAGAAGGAACAUCAAAAUGAGAAAAGAAGGUUCAUUUGUGUGGACACACAGACACACACACACACACACACACACCCUCACUCAAAACUGGUCUUACUUUCACACUUCUUUUCCCUUUCCUCCUUCUCCCCUUUAUCUGCUGCCUCCUCCACCUCUUUUCUCUAUGACUUCAAAGUUAAUUUUUUUAACAAUUUAUCAUCAACUUUUUAAACAUAUAGCAAUGUUGAAAAUUUUUUCCAGUAAAUAACCAUAAAUAGGUGAGAUUCUGUGCUCUAGGGGCAUUGAUUCACACUAAGCAAAGUUACAAGGAGCUAGAAUAACAAUGUAUAUCUACUAUAUUUCUUUCUCCCUUAUCCUCUGGUAUUUGACUUCUGUCUUUUAUUUAAUACUUUUUUUUUGUAUUGUAGUUCCUGUAUUUUAUUGUAUUUGUUCAUACUUCCUCUCUGGAAUAAAAGAAAUAAGAAACAAGUAUGUAAAUAAAUAAAAAUAGAUACUAUGUGUUUACAAAGGGAAAUCUCAUAUAAGUCAGUUCAUUCAAAAGAGGAAAUCACAGAUCAGAAGGUUGCUAUGGUAAAG
rnacentral:lncRNA from 1 species